rnacentral:rRNA from 1 species
UACGGAGGGUGCAAGCGUUAAUCGGAAUUACUGGGCGUAAAGCGUGCGCAGGCGGUUUGUUAAGUCCGCUGUGAAAUCCCCGAGCUCAACUUGGGAAUUGCAGUGGAUACUGGCAAGCUGGAGUAUGGUAGAGGAAGGUGGAAUUCCCGGUGUAGCAGUGAAAUGCGUAGAGAUCGGAGGAACACCAGUGGCGAAGGCGGCCUUCUGGACCAAUACUGACGCUCAUGCACGAAAGCGUGGGGAGCAAACAGG